GACGUAGGGGGCCAGCGUUGUUCGGAAUUACUGGGUGUAAAGGGUUCGUAGGCGGUGCGGCAAGUCGGGAGUGAAAUCUCUGGGCUUAACCCAGAGGCUGCUUCCGAAACUGCUGUGCUUGAGUGUGGGGAGAGGCGCGUGGAAUUGCAGGUGUAGCGGUGAAAUGCGUAGAUAUCUGCAGGAACACCCGUGGCGAAAGCGGCGCGCUGGACCACUACUGACGCUGAGGAACGAAAGCUAGGGGAGCAAACAGG
rnacentral:rRNA from 1 species